GGGGGGAGGAGUUGCCUCCAGACUUUUGGGCUGUGUUUAGGCUCAUUAUAGGAUAGGAGAGCAUCUCCACUCUGCUGAGUGUGUACCAGGAGAUACAGGAAGGACCUGAAGGCAGAGUCAAGCUCCAGAAGAAGGACCACCAGGAUCCAGAAAAGGACCAGCACCCCCGGUCUACACUGGGACAGGAUUGUGUCAUCUUAAAAGACACCUCCAUCUGUGUGGGCCGAGUCAAGCCAAGGCAGAGCCAAGACUGACAGGAAAAGAACCCAACCACCAUGCUAGGAGAAGCCUCAAUCGCAUGGAGAGGCCAUGUGGAGGAGAGCUGAGUGAGUGACCACUUGGACAGCCCAGCCCAGUCAAGCCUUGGAUGAUUGCAGCCCAGCCAAUGCCAGGAGGACCAGAAGACCCAGCCAGCUGAGCCCAGCCAGCCCACAGAAUCAUGAGCAAUAAUAAAAGAUGGUUGUCUUAAGCCACUCAGUUUUGGGAAGAUUUGUUAUACAGUAAUUGAAAAUGGACACCUCCAGAAUUAGCAAACAAAAAGAUGGCUGGAAAUAAAUCCAACCAACGCAGUCUGUCGAGUUAUAAGCAAGAAGGAGUCUGGGAUGACUCCUUCGUGUCGUGAGGAUGUGACAUGAGGUAAAUGUUGGCAAACGCUGGGAUGAGAGGAGCUACUGACACUGGCUGCAGUCCUGAUUAUGAUCCACAGGGUCACACUUGUACAAUCAGCAGGCCUGCUAUCUAUCCCCUCCUGCCUCCCUAUUUAUCUUCACACUCAGAUAACUGCCUUCCUGCAGGCUUUGCCCACUGCCGCCCUGCACCCAUCCUGACCCAUCCCAGCCUGGGUGAAACCACACAAGAGGGUGGAUCUGGGGUUAGCCACGCUGCCAUCAGCCCAGGAUCCUGUGUGCCGAGGAUGGAAUUUGAAGCCCAGCAUCCCUGCCACCUGCUUGGAAUGUAAUGAUUAUCCCCAUGUUGGGGCUUGACACAGACACAGAGAAGUUCCCUUAUAAUGCAUCCCCCCU
rnacentral:lncRNA from 1 species